UGUGUCCUUGGGUCUCAACCUUCU
rnacentral:piRNA from 1 species